GAACGCUGGCGGCGUGCUUAACACAUGCAAGUCGAAACGCGAAAGGGACUUCGGUCCUGAGUAAAGUGGCGCACGGGUGAGUAACGCGUGGAUAAUCUGCCCUUAUGAUCGGGAUAACAGUUGGAAACGGCUGCUAAUACCGGAUACGCUCAAAGUGAACUUUUUGAGGAAAGAUGGCCUCUGCUUGCAUGCUAUCACGUAAGGAUGAGUCCGCGUCCCAUUAGCUUGUUGGCGGGUAACGGCCCACCAAGGCAACGAUGGGUAGCCGAUUUGAGAGGAUGAUCGGCCACACUGGAACUGAAACACGGUCCAGACUCCUACGGGAGGCAGCAGUGGGGAAUAUUGCGCAAUGGGCGAAAGCCUGACGCAGCGACGCCGCGUGAGGGAUGGAAAGGUUUUCGGAUCGUAAACCUCUGUCAGAAGGGAAGAAACUACGUUGUGCUAAUCAGCAGCGUACUGACGGUACCUUCAAAGGAAGCACCGGCUAACUCCGUGCCAGCAGCUGC
rnacentral:rRNA from 1 species